rnacentral:rRNA from 1 species
GGUCCCAAGGGUUGGGCUGUUCGCCCAUUAAAGCGGUACGCGAGCUGGGUUCAGAACGUCGUGAGACAGUUCGGUCCCUAUCCGUCGUGGGCGUAGGAAAUUUGAGAGGAGCUGUCCUUAGUACGAGAGGACCGGGAUGGACAUACCUCUGGUGUACCAGUUGUCGUGCCAACGGCAUAGCUGGGUAGCUAUGUGUGGACGGGAUAAGUGCUGAAAGCAUCUAAGCAUGAAGCCCCCCUCAAGAUGAGAUUUCCCAACUUCGGUUAUAAGAUCCCUCAAAGAUGAUGAGGUUAAUAGGUUCGAGGUGGAAGCAUGGUGACAUGUGGAGCUGACGAAUACUAAUCGAUCGAAGACUUAAUCAA